UACGGGGGGGGCAAGCGUUGUUCGGAAUUAUUGGGCGUAAAGGGCUCGUAGGCGGCCAACUAAGUCAGACGUGAAAUCCCCAGGCUCAACCUGGGAACUGCGUCCGAUACUGGCAGGCUUGAAUCCGGGAGAGGGAUGUGGAAUUCCAGGUGUAGCGGUGAAAUGCGUAGAUAUCUGGAGGAACACCGGUGGCGAAGGCGGCAUCCUGGACCGGUAUUGAUGCUGAGGCGCGAAAGCUAGGGGAGCAAACGGG
rnacentral:rRNA from 1 species